UACGGAGGAUCCAAGCGUUAUCCGGAAUUACUGGGCGUAAAGAGUUGCGUAGGUGGCAGAGUAAGUAGGUAGUGAAAGCGUUCGGCUCAACCGAACAAACAUUAUCUAAACUGCUCAGCUAGAGGAUGAGAGAGGUUAUUGGAAUUCCAAGUGUAGGAGUGAAAUCCGUAGAUAUUUGGAGGAACACCGAUGGCGUAGGCAGAUAACUGGCUCAUUCCUGACACUAAGGCACGAAAGCGUGGGGAGCAAACGGG
rnacentral:rRNA from 1 species